UACAAGCACCCCGAGUUGUCGGGACGAUUAUUGGGCCUAAAGCAUCCGUAGCCUGUUCUGCAAGUCCUCCGUUAAAUCCACCUGCUCAACGGAUGGGCUGCGGAGGAUACCGCAGAGCUAGGAGGCGGGAGAGGCAAACGGUACUCAGUGGGUAGGGGUAAAAUCCAUUGAUCCAUUGAAGACCACCAGUGGCGAAGGCGGCUUGCCAGAAUGCGCUCGACGGUGAGGGAUGAAAGCUGGGGGAGCAAACCGG
rnacentral:rRNA from 1 species